UACGUAGGGUCCGAGCGUUGUCCGGAUUCAUUGGGCGUAAAGAGCUCGUAGGCGGUUUCGUAAGUCGGAUGUGAAAACUCAGGGCUCAACCCGGAGACGCCAUCCGAUACUGCGAUGACUGGAGUCUGGUAGGGGAACACGGAAUACCUGGUGUAGCGGUGAAAUGCGCAGAUAUCAGGUGGAACACCGAUGGCGAAGGCAGUGUUCUGGGCCAGUACUGACGCUGAGGGGCGAAAGCGUGGGGAGCAAACAGG
rnacentral:rRNA from 1 species